rnacentral:hammerhead_ribozyme from 1 species
AUCCAGCUGACGAGUCCUAAAUAGGAAGAGACGCGCGUCAAACUGGAU